rnacentral:sRNA from 1 species
GUGUGUGUGUGUGUGUGUAUACAAGUGCACCCAUGUGGUGCAAGCACUUAGUGCGUGGACAAUGUUAGGUACCAUCCUCAGUAAUAUUGCCUACUUCCUUUGAGACAAGGUCUCUUAUUGGUCUGGAGCUCACCAAUUAGAGAUCGCCUUGUCUCCACCUCCCCAGCACUGGCGAUAGGGGCUCCCCAUUGUCCUCCUUUUUUGAACUUACUCUGUGCCUGAUCCUAGGCAAAAAGCUGAGAAACAGUGUUGCAUGGACUGUGCUCAAAGCCUUUGCAGGUUUAGCUAAUGGGGCUACUUGGAGGCACUGACAGACUUAAGAAUACUGACUUUGAGGCCCAGUGAGAUGGCUCAGAGGGUGAAGGGGCUUGCUGCAAAGUCUGACAAACUGAGUUCAAUCCCUGCCACCAACAUGGUGGAGAGAGCCAACUCCUACAAGUUAUCUUUGACCUUUAAGUUUGGGUGGCAUACACUCCUGCAUGUACAAAGAAGGGGCAGGGGGAGCACACAGAGGGACAGACAGACAGACAGAAGAAAACACUUUGGAAUCAGAAGGUGCUGCAUGGGUUUGGGUAUAAUCCCCCACCAGCUCUGUGCAUGCGACCAAGAUAAGAUCAAUGUCUUUGUGCCUCAGCUGUUCUCAUACAAUGGGGGAAGAGGGCUUGGCCUUCUCUGAGCCACAGGCCCUUACACAAUACAGUGAAGGUUAUGAAGUCCUCAGAAUGCCCGUGGAUGCAUAAAGUAAAAAUAAAACACAGGAUAAUAAAGAAAAUAAAGUUAAUAUCAAAAUACACUCAUAAAAUAUUGAAAAGUUGGGGCAGGAGAGAUGGCUUGGUGGUUAGGGUGUGUAUUCUCUUCAGGUGCCUGUCAGGAGGUGCUCAACUCCAGCUCCAGGGGACCCACCGCCUUCUGGCCUCCGUGGAGACCUGUGUUCACGUGUGCACUCCCUCACAUACAUACACGUACAUCACAUGCACACGGAAUUUAAAUUUUUAGAAACUACACAGAAGGGUGAAUCCCACCCUAACGGUGUUUCCUUAUUAACAUUAUGGAGCAGUGAGAGCCAUGGCAAGUGUAGUAAUUGCCUACAACUUCUAAUUAGCAACAAACCCAAAUAUUUCCGAAGAACAUUGACAACUGUGAAGCUAUAUGGAAAUAUCUGUGAUUUCCACUGGUGACAAAAGUCACAGGCACCACUAAGGCCUUUUUUUGUCACCUACAUUCAUAUUUAAAGGGAAUGCUAAAACAAAUAUAACUUUUCUCACCCAAAUUCACAUACUCCUUAAGCAUGAGGUUGCCCAGCACUUUACACAGAGGUGGGUAUUCUCCAUGACCUAACAGGGUUCAAGUUCCCACCCGCAUGUCAACAGAGGUCUGUCAGAAGGGAGCGAGGGAACAGCAGAGUGAAUGCUUUGAGUGGCUCUGGGCCUUGGGGGCUCAAGGCAGGCUGUGGGUUAUAUGACGUGGCAGGGUAAGGGCUGUGAGCCUCAAAGCUAAUCCAGAAGCUUAAGCCAGAAGAAGCUUAAGGCUUCAUGAGACAGACACAGGCUGUCCAAGCAGAGAAGAAGCUGCAUUUUCGAGCUGGGGUGUAGCUCGUCGAGUAGUAGAUUGCCUGCCUAGCAUGUAUGAGGCCCUGGGUUUGAUCCUAAUGCUGCAGAAACCAGGGAUGGGCACACGUGCCUGGAGUCUCAGCACUUUGGAGAUGAAGGCAAAAGACCAGAGGCCAAAGGCCAUUCUUGGCCAUAUAUUGAGCUACAGAGGACCUUGUGUCACAUUAUAAAGAGCCUUGAUGAUCUAACUACUUCUCCCUGCUGGCAAGAAACCUCUCUGAGUCAGGGACUCCUCCUGGUGGGCAGAAACACUCCAACCUACGCAAAGCACAGCUGCCUCCACCUGUUCCCAGGAAGACCAGGAGGGAAAAACAGUAGCAGCCACCCCAGAGGCUAGAGAACCCAAGGGACACACCAAGGGCAGACACAGGGAUCCACAGGGAGGUAAGAUGGAGGGCGGCUGAGAUGUUUGGCCUAUCAUUUCAUCUGUGAAGUUCUGGGAGAAGAGGCAAACUUCUGUCGUGAGCUCUUAAGGGUGGACCCAGGACACCAGCAGAUGAACGGUCUGUCUUUUCUUCACAAGGGAGGAUGUUAAGAUUAAGUCAACCAUUUCCUUUUUGCUGUAUCCACAGGGUGAUGGUCGACAGUGUGAAGGUGACUGGAGGCCCCAGCGAUCUAUG